rnacentral:rRNA from 1 species
GACGAACGCUGGCGGCGUGCUUAACACAUGCAAGUCGAACGGACAGGCCCUGCUUUUGUGGGGUGCUCGAGUGGCGAACGGGUGAGUAACACGUGAGUAACCUGCCCUUGACUUUGGGAUAACUUCAGGAAACUGGGGCUAAUACCGGAUAGGAGCUCCUGCUGCAUGGUGGGGGUUGGAAAGUUUCGGCGGUUGGGGAUGGACUCGCGGCUUAUCAGCUUGUUGGUGGGGUAGUGGCUUACCAAGGCUUUGACGGGUAGCCGGCCUGAGAGGGUGACCGGCCACAUUGGGACUGAGAUACGGCCCAGACUCCUACGGGAGGCAGCAGUGGGGAAUAUUGCGCAAUGGGCGGAAGCCUGAUGCAGCAACGCCGCGUGCGGGAUGAAGGCCUUCGGGUUGUAAACCGCUUUCGCCUGUGACGAAGCGUGAGUGACGGUAAUGAGUAAAGAAGCACCGGCUAACUACGUG